UCAGGAAAACCGGGAUUUAGGGACGGCUUUGGCUCAGUGGAAUGGCUUUAGCCUUGGCUGCAAAAGGGAACGGAAGGGAAGAGUUUCACUGCGUAAGUGUAAUGAAAUGGGAGCCUUUUCUAAUGGGAAUAGUUUCGUUUAAAAUGGGUGAUUUACUGAAAUGAGAAGCAAGUUAACGAUCCUUAACGUGGAAUGGACUUUUUUCUUUCUUGCCGUGUGUCUUGUUUUUCACAUUGUACUUUUUAGAACUUUUCAUCGAAGUCUUAAAGGAUUGUUUAUCCCCCGCUCCGGUACAAUUUGUAACAAUAGCUGCAGUUUUGGACCUACACUUUCCAGGGUCGGAGACAUUAUAAAGGCACCGCUCACGUUUAAGUGCCAGAAAUCUCCCCUUGACUUAUUCAGCAAUUUCCCCUGGAUUUUUAAUGCUUUGCUUUUGAGCCCAGGGCGCAUUUGCCAUCUCAGUUCUUCGGACUUCACAAGGUCGGCUUUUUGUUGUCUAAUCUAGCUCAGCCUGAUGAUACGUAUAAAUAAAACGUGUGCUAUGCCAUUGUGGACUGCAAACCUCGACUGGAAAUUACGAGUUCUGGGUUCAAAUUCUCUUCGCCCAUAGCGUCGCACGCUGAAUGGCGAGACCUUCUCUCUCAAGGCGAUCUUGAGCGUCUAUCCGCCUCUCUGAAAGGAACGAACUGAAAUAGGCGCAGGGUUGUCUUGUCUCUUCUGGACCACUUCAGAAAAGAAAAUUCGUGUUCUAACGUGAAAACACACGGUACUACUGAGAGCCGAUUCUCACGUUACAGAAAGGCAAACCCGGGUUUCUGCCACCAGUUCUAUACUCAACAGGGAGCUUCAGCCAAGCAUAGCCCUUGAUCCCUGUACCUGCCUGAAACUCGUCUCGGUUGUGGUAUUUAUUUUUAUAUGUUUAGCCUUUAGGGAAAGAAGGUCACCCGCCUAAUCUCCAGACUCCUCUCUCUACAAACUGCAAGAGCACUGAGCUCGAAGGGCACGGCAGUUCAACGGCAAAAUUUAAGUAAAAAAGUAAAAUCCUUG